GAUGAACGCUGGCGGCGUGCCUAAUACAUGCAAGUCGAGCGAACAGACGAGGAGCUUGCUCCUCUGACGUUAGCGGCGGACGGGUGAGUAACACGUGGAUAACCUACCUAUAAGACUGGGAUAACUUCGGGAAACCGGAGCUAAUACCGGAUAAUAUAUUGAACCGCAUGGUUCAAUAGUGAAAGACGGUUUUGCUGUCACUUAUAGAUGGAUCCGCGCCGCAUUAGCUAGUUGGUAAGGUAACAGCUUACCAAGGCAACGAUGCGUAGCCGACCUGAGAGGGUGAUCGGCCACACUGGAACUGAGACACGGUCCAGACUCCUACGGGAGGCAGCAGUAGGGAAUCUUCCGCAAUGGGCGAAAGCCUGACGGAGCAACGCCGCGUGAGUGAGGAAGGUCUUCGGAUCGUAAAACUCUGUUAUUAGGGAAGAACAAAUGUGUAAGUAACUAGGCACGUCUUGACGGUACCUAAUCAGAAAGCCACGGCUAACUACGUGC
rnacentral:rRNA from 1 species